rnacentral:rRNA from 1 species
GAUGAACGCUGGCGGCGUGCCUAAUACAUGCAAGUCGAGCGAACGGACGAGAAGCUUGCUUCUCUGAUGUUAGCGGCGGACGGGUGAGUAACACGUGGAUAACCUACCUAUAAGACUGGGAUAACUUCGGGAAACCGUAGCUAAUACCUGAUAAUAUUUUGAACCGCAUGGUUCAAAAGUGAAAGACGGUCUUGCUGUCACUUAUAGAUGGAUCCGCGCUGCAUUAGCUAGUUGGUAAGGUAACGGCUUACCAAGGCAACGAUGCAUAGCCGACCUGAGAGGGUGAUCGGCCACACUGGAACUGAGACACGGUCCAGACUCCUACGGGAGGCAGCAGUAGGGAAUCUUCCGCAAUGGGCGAAAGCCUGACGGAGCAACGCCGCGUGAGUGAUGAAGGUCUUCGGAUCGUAAAACUCUGUUAUUAGGGAAGAACAUAUGUGUAAGUAACUGUGCACAUCUUGACGGUACCUAAUCAGAAAGCCACGGCUAACUACGUG